UUUAGGAUUCGUAUGCUGACACAAAUACGCUGAUCUGGAGAUGUUCUUAAGACUUGCCAUUCAGUAACUCAUGAACAAUAGCUGUGUUAAAGAAUUCAUCGACACGAACUUCUUGUUUUAUUAACAUACAUCUUUGUAUGACUCAAGUGUGGUUUUUGUCAACAAAUUCUUUUUAUGUUCAAACCAAAGUCUUAUAUUUUUUUCUUUUUGGGUCCUUUCAUACUUCAUAAUCUCUGAGUUUCUGGACCAUAGAGUUCUUUGUUGAAUAUCAAAGAAAAAUGUUUUGCUUCUGAAAGACUGGUGACUUGUAGAAUACCUUUAUGUCAAUAUUUGUCUUAAAGAUUAGUUGCUCAUGUAAACACCUGAAUUGAGAUGUUCUUAAACCUUGUGGUUUAGUAGCACGUGAACAAUGACUGUGUUGUUAAAAUUGUUGACAUGACCUUGCUGUUUUAGUGACAUCUUCCAUAUUUUUUUUUUGAUAAGAAAAGAAAUAUCAGUCAGGACAAGAAAAGAUAAAGUACAAUACCGGAGGAUAAUAUAUCUUCCUAGAGUCUUUUAGUACAAGAAUGCCAGAAUAAGUUACAGGAAACCCAACAAAUAUCAGUUUAUUGUCGUCCCCAGUUCCUAUGUAACACAGAAAUGUAAUGUAUCAGUAAAUUGCCAAUCGGCCUUAGCCUAUAAGAAGGCCAUGAAUGUCCCAUGUUCCCAGAGAACUUGAGUAGGGAAGGUACUAUCUUCAAAAAUUAUGUUGUUCUAUUCCAUGUGUAGUGUCCACAGUCCUGCAAACAAAGCAUGCCUCUUUAGUAUUUUACGUCUUUUCUUAUCCCCUCUCCAUAUAGAUUCAAACUCAUGAAGUAAUCCACAGAAGGAACGAAUCCCAUCAAU
rnacentral:lncRNA from 1 species